AAGCUUGCUGCUUUGCUGACGAGUGGCGGACGGGUGAGUAAUGUCUGGGAAACUGCCUGAUGGAGGGGGAUAACUACUGGAAACGGUAGCUAAUACCGCAUAACGUCGCAAGACCAAAGAGGGGGACCUUCGGGCCUCUUGCCAUCGGAUGUGCCCAGAUGGGAUUAGCUAGUAGGUGGGGUAACGGCUCACCUAGGCGACGAUCCCUAGCUGGUCUGAGAGGAUGACCAGCCACACUGGAACUGAGACACGGUCCAGACUCCUACGGGAGGCAGCAGUGGGGAAUAUUGCACAAUGGGCGCAAGCCUGAUGCAGCCAUGCCGCGUGUAUGAAGAAGGCCUUCGGGUUGUAAAGUACUUUCAGCGGGGAGGAAGGGAGUAAAGUUAAUACCUUUGCUCAUUGACGUUACCCGCAGAAGAAGCACCGGCUAACUCCGUGCCAGCAGCCGCGGUAAUACGGAGGGUGCAAGCGUUAAUCGGAAUUACUGGGCGUAAAGCGCACGCAGGCGGUUUGUU
rnacentral:rRNA from 1 species